rnacentral:lncRNA from 1 species
CCUCCCUUUCCGUCAAUCGUUCCUUCUCUCACUUUGCUCCCUCUGAAUCUUUUCUUCUCUCCUCUCCUUCUCCAAUGCCGCAUUUCAGAAGCGACGUCGGCGUCCCACCCAGAGCGCCCUGGGUAAGAAAAGGCGGCGGACCCGCAAGCACAACCAAGAAUUGGAGCAUCUCUCGGGGGGUGCCAUGAAUCAUUAUUCAAGUCUAGCGAGAUCGAUAGGUGAAGACGCCCCAUCC